rnacentral:rRNA from 1 species
GACGAACCGUGCGAACGUUAUUCGGAAUCACUGGGCUUAAAGGGCGCGUAGGCGGGCCGGCGAGCCAGGGGUGAAAUCCUCCAGCCCAACUGGAGAACAGCCCCUGGGACCGCCGGCCUCGAGGGGUGCAGGGGCAUGCGGAGCUCAGGGUGGAGCGGUGAAAUGCGUAGAGAUCCUGAGGAACACCGGUGGCGAAGGCGGCAUCCUGGACCAAUAUUGACGCUGAGGAGCGAAAGCUAGGGGAGCAAACGGG